AUUGAACGCUGGCGGCAGGCCUAACACAUGCAAGUCGAGCGGUAGAGAGAAGCUCGCUUCUCUUGAGAGCGGCGGACGGGUGAGUAAUGCCUAGGAAUCUGCCUGGUAGUGGGGGAUAACGUUCGGAAACGGACGCUAAUACCGCAUACGUCCUACGGGAGAAAGCAGGGGACCUUCGGGCCUUGCGCUAUCAGAUGAGCCUAGGUCGGAUUAGCUAGUUGGUGGGGUAAUGGCUCACCAAGGCGACGAUCCGUAACUGGUCUGAGAGGAUGAUCAGUCACACUGGAACUGAGACACGGUCCAGACUCCUACGGGAGGCAGCAGUGGGGAAUAUUGGACAAUGGGCGAAAGCCUGAUCCAGCCAUGCCGCGUGUGUGAAGAAGGUCUUCGGAUUGUAAAGCACUUUAAGUUGGGAGGAAGGGCAGUAAAUUAAUACUUUGCUGUUUUGACGUUACCGACAGAAUAAGCACCGGCUAACUCUGUG
rnacentral:rRNA from 1 species